UGGGGAAUAUUGCACAAUGGGCGCAAGCCUGAUGCAGCAACGCCGCGUGAGGGACGACGGCCUUCGGGUUGUAAACCUCUUUUAGUAGGGAAGAAGCGAAAGUGACGGUACCUGCAGAAAAACGCACCGGCUAACUACGUGCCAGCAGCCGCGGUAAUACGUAGGGUGCGAGCGUUGUCCGGAAUUAUUGGGCGUAAAGAGCUCGUAGGCGGUUUGUCGCGUCUGCUGUGAAAACCCGAGGCUCAACCUCGGGCCUGCAGUGGGUACGGGCAGACUAGAGUGCGGUAGGGGAGAAUGGAAUUCCUGGUGUAGCGGUGGAAUGCGCAGAUAUCAGGAGGAACACCGAUGGCGAAGGCAGUUCUCUGGGCCGUAACUGACGCUGAGGAGCGAAAGCGUGGGGAGCGAACAGGAUUAGAUACCCUGGUAGUCCACGCCGUAAACGUUGGGCGCUAGAUGUGGGGACCAUUCCACGGUUUCCGUGUAGCAGCUAACGCAUUAAGCGCCCCGCCUGGGGAGUACGGCCGCAAGGCUAAAACUCAAAUGAAUUGAC
rnacentral:rRNA from 1 species